rnacentral:rRNA from 1 species
AUGAUACAAAAUGGGGUCAAGUACCCACAUAAAUUUAUGUGGAAAGUCAAAAUGCCUCCUCCGGUAAAGGUGUUCUUGUGGCUUGCACUAAGAGGAUGCAUCCUCACUAAGGACAACCUAAUCAAAAGGGGAUGGCGUGGUGAUAGUAAGUGCUCCUUUUAUGUUAGGGAAGAAGAUAUUAAUCAUCUCUUUUUCCUCUGUUCUGUUGCCCGGAUGUUGUGGAUGGUUAUGAAAUGCUCAUUUGAUAUGCAUGACAUUCCUGACAAUAUACAAAAUCUAUUUGGGGUCUGGAUCAACUUUUUUGAUAAAAUGAUAGGGAUCUCAUGA